CGUGACCCUUUUCCAUCACCCAGGUUUCAUAUUUAGGCUCUGUGAAAUGUGGACUCUUUGUCAUGUGAUGGCGUAAGUCUCAGGCGAGGGUCUUACCCGACAUGUUUGAUACACUGUAGAAGACGGUAUACCAUGUAUGCAGUCAUGAAGCAUGUGGUACCUUUUAUGCCUCAUGGUUACCAUAUAUAUACUGUAUAUAUAUAUAUAUAUAUAUAUAUAUAUAUUCUCUUUAUUCCAUACAGAUUUCUUUGUAAUGCUGUUUAGGUAAUAAAAUCGUAAUAUUGAAUUGAAUCUUUUUUUUUUUUUUUAUUCCCUGAUAAGCAAGAAGCUUAUCCUUAAAUCUUAAAACAUUCUGUGCGGAUUGGAGCUGGCCUGGCACUUUCACUGGACACUACAUUAGGUACACAAUAUAACUGGAUCAGACCAGUUGAAACAUCCAUCCAUCCAUUUUCUAUACCGCUUCAUCCUCAUUAGGGUCGCGGGGGCAUGCUGGAGCCUAUCCCAGCUGACUUCGGGCGACAGGCGGGGUACACCCUGGACUGGUCGCCAGCCAAUCGCAGGGCACAUAUAGACAAACAACCAUUCACACUCACAUUCAUACCUAUGGACAAUUUAGAGUCGCCAAUUAACCUCACCUGCAUGUUUUUGGGAAUGUGGGAGGAAGCCGGAGUACCGGAGAAAACCCACACGCACACGGGGAGAACAUGCAAACUCCACACAGAAAUGCCCAGGGGAGACUCGAACCCAGGUCUUCCCGAUCUCCAGGCUCUUCCUGUAUUGGCCAACAUGCUAACCACUAGACCACCGUGCGGCCCACCAGUUGAAACAUUUCAUUCAAUUUUACUUUUGCACUGUUGGAUUUUAAAGAGGCUCUAUACAGAUUCAAAAAGAAGAAAUGGGAGUGAGACAAUAUAGUUUUAAGUAAGUGAUUUAUUGCAAACAAGCAUUAAAGGGAAAUAGACUGUUUAUUAGCUGAUCCAAAGUUUAAGACCAUAGCUAAAAAAAAAAAACUAAAGUAGAAAUAAAAUGUUCAAAAAAAGGACUGAGUGAUGAGUAGCUGCACCAUUUCUGUUAACCACCUCAAAAAUGGGUUUGGACAUGCUUGAUGCCAGUGUUUCCAGGAGGCUAGUGGGAAUGUUGCUCCAGGUGGUGAAGAUAGCUUCACAGAGGGCAUCCACUGUCUGGAACUGGUGUCCAUUUUUGUCAACUUCUCUUGCCAUCCAUUCCCAAAUGUUCUCAGUGGGAUUUAGAUCAGAGGAAACAUGCAGGAUGGUCCAAAAGAGUGAGGUUAGUCCUUUGGAAGAAGUCCUUUGUCAGGGCAGGCAUUGUGAAGUGCAGCAUUGUCCUGUUGAAAAAGCCAUCGUUACCACACAGAUGAGGGCCUUCAGUCCUCCCUGCAAUAUCUCCACAUAGCCAGCUGCUGUUCUGACGCCCCUGCACAACCUGAAGCUCCAUUGUUCCAUUGAAGGAUCAUAAUAGUGCCCCCUCCACUGUGCCAUGUGGAAAACACCUCAGGUGGGAUCUCCUUGUCGUGUCAGUAACAUUGGAAGCCAUCAGGGACUUUUGUCCAUCUUUCAAUGUCCCAUGCUUGGUGCUCUUGUGCAAAUUCGGAACAGGCAAUUUUAUGGCGUUGAAGGAGAUGAAGCCUUUGAAGACGUUUGUUGUUCUUAAAAGCCUUCUCUCGCAGAUGCCGUCUGAUGGCGACUGCACUCGGCACAAGUAACCUUCAUUUGGGCCGAGGAUCGUCCCGUGUCUUGACGGACAGCCAACAGUUUUUAUGCGUCUACCUCUAUUUUUUUUUUGUUUGUUUUGUUCCAUAACCCUCAGGAUCUUUGAAGAAGUGUAAAAUGGCAGUCUUACUGCCUCCAACGUCAGCAGCAAUGGUGCGCCGCGAUAGGCCUUGCAUGCAGCUCAACAGUCAAUCAUCGAAGUGUGCACUGCGCGUUUUGGCCACAAGAUGUCAGCGGUGCACUCUGUUCAAGUUGUCCUCAGCCAUGUUUUGUUGGACUAUCUUAGUUUUAAAAUUACUUUUAUUGUAAAAAAAAAAAAACUAAAAUUUUUAGAAGGCCACAGUCACAAUUGGCGGUCAGCAUUUGUUGAAACGUUCAGCACAAUAAGCCGUUCUAUUCUGUAUCAAAGUGGGACUUUCCAUCUCCUGUGACUUUACUGUGCAAUUAUUCUGGCUGUUAAAAUAUGCAUGUCCGCACCAGCCUCUCAUUUUUUACGGUUUUAAUCUUGCCUUCUGUAACGAUCACGUCGAGUACACAUGGCUGGAAGGUACCAAAUUCAAUAUGAUUGCAGGUUUUACUUAUAGAUACUGCUAAACUACUUCGAUAACAGUCUGAAACAUAUUUGACUCUUACUCUGUCUGGUUUUAAGAGAUGAUGGCAAUUAUUUCACAAGUGAAAUUAUGUUUUACACCUAACAGUUGGCCAACAAUACCUUGACAUGGCGAGGCUGCAGCUCAGUGUUUCUCCCUUAUACGCCAGGGGUGUCCAAAGCGCGACCCAGGGGCCAUUUGCGGUCUGUGGCAACCAAGGGGUGGUGGGGGGAGAGCAGUCAUUUUUGUAAAGAAUUAAAUGAUAAGAGGAUUGUCACAAUUUAAUGUGAAAUUAAUAUGAAGGGGAAAACAUUUAAAUGCAUAAUGUUGAAAUAUUAAAACCAAAAAAUAUGUUGCCGAUAACCUAAUAAAUACAACAAUAACAAAGAAUAAAGUUGCAUUUUCUGGAAAAAUAGGAAUAAAGUUAAGAAGUUGACAUUUUUGUACAAAAUAGCAAAAACAUGAAAAACUAAUUGAUGCACAGUUGAACGUCACUGCUGUGUGUGACCACUACAUGGCAGCAUUGCUCCCCACACUCACUCUCCCCUCUAUUUUCGCUUUCUCUCUCGUCUCCGUCUGUCCCUUUCUCUGGCGAGAGACCACCUUCCAUUGGGCUGCAGGUUCUGGAAAAUCCAGCUGGAGUAUGAGAGCAUCUCAGCGCACCUGGACCGGAGGAACGGGGGCGAGGAGCCUGACAGAGAUUUACAAUCCGAAGACGAAACUUGCAUACUGAGCUAGCAAGCUUGUUGCGGUGUGGAGCACAACGUCAUCACUCGUGCGGCAGACAAAACCAUACCGAUAUGAACCGGGAUGUCUUCCUGCCUGGAGGAGGGCUGGAAUUGAAACUGCAGGGAUGAGUGAAGGGCAGGAGCAUGGGGUGAAGAAGACUCGCCUCUGCUGACCUCAAGGCAGAUGACCCGUGAUGGCCACAGCAUCACCUCGACUUUCGGUGGACGAUGUAAAAAACACAGACCAGGAAGUAGAGCGGCAGGAGUUCCUGAGAUCGCUGGAGAGCAUCCUUCUCAUCACCGUGCUGUCCAUCAUCAUCAUCAUGACGGUGUUUGGAAACCUGCUGGUCAUGGUGGCGCUCUGCAAGGAUCGCCAUCUACGGAAGAAAAAGACCAACUACUUCAUCGUGUCGCUGGCUUUUGCCGACUUGUUAGUGGCGCUGGUGGUGAUGCCCUUUGCCGCCAUCGAGCUGACCACCGGCGUGUGGAAGUACGGCGAGAUCUUCUGUCUGGUGCGAACGUCGCUGGAUGUCCUGUUGACCACAGCGUCCAUUCUGCACCUCUGCUGCAUUGCACUGGACAGGUAUUACGCUAUCUGCUGCCAGCCGCUUGUGUACAGACACAAGAUGACCCCGCUGAGAGUGGCGGCGAUGCUCGGCGGCUGCUGGCUCAUCCCGACAUUCAUUUCCUUCUUACCCAUCAUGCAAAGCUGGAACGCCAUUGGCAUCGAGGAUAUCAUAGAAGAGCGGCGAUCCUUGGCAGGAGGCUCCAAUGACACAAGCUGCGUGUUUCUGGUCAACCGUCCGUACGCUCUCAUCUGCUCUACGGUGGCCUUCUACGUGCCGUUGGCCCUCAUGGUCCUGGCCUACCAGCGCAUCUACGUCACCGCCAUGAGCCACGUGCGGCAGAUCGAGACGCUGCAACGUGCCGGCUCCGCCCCAGUGACCGGGACGGCCCCCGCCGUCAACGUGAGGUCAUCGACGUGCUCGGACCCGGCGGAUCACUACCACCUCAGGACAGCGGGGGGCACCUCUUUCCCUGAGCAGGCUCCUAUAGCAAACAGUCGCAUGCGCAUUGAGACGAAAGCGGCAAAGACCCUCGCGGUCAUAAUGGGGUGUUUCUGCCUGUGCUGGGCGCCCUUCUUCAUCACCAACGUAGUGGACCCCUUCAUUCACUACUCGGUGCCCUGGCAGCUAUGGACAACAUGGCUCUGGCUCGGGUACAUCAACUCAGGCCUGAACCCCUUCCUGUAUGCCUUUUUGAACCGGGCUUUUCGGAGGGCCUUUCUCAUGAUUCUUUGCUGUGGGGACGAGCGCUUCGUACGCCAGGCCAGCUACUCCUAUGGACCCGCCCACAGAGUGUGCUCACCAACAUCCGUCAACGGGACUUCUAUGGCACUAAGAUUGUCCUUCCUGCCGAAUCGUAGCUACUGUGACAACGGAAGAACGAUACUGGCCAACGAGCAGGAAUCCCAGGACUUUCUAGAACCACUAUGAGGAAAGACUUUUCCACAAGAGGACGCACUAUGAUGCCAAGUGUCCUCAACUGGCCUGCCUCCUUUAAAGGCUGCAACGUGCUUCCAUAGACUUAAUAGUUCCAUAGUUCAAGGGAGGGGGGAAACAUGAAGACAUUUUUUUCUGGAUUCCACUUAGGAUUUUGUCCUUCCCGUCUUAUUUCCCUGAAGGUCACAAUAGCAUUCUCUUAUUAGGCAAAUAUUUCUUGAGUUAUUUAGUUAAAAAGUACUUUUGGAUCUUCCACACUGGAAGCCAGAAUUGAAUUUGAUGUAAUUGAAUUGCAACGUGAACAAUACACAUCCGUUUCUAUGGAAAUGUAAUUAAAAAUGAAAAAAGUAUCACUUUGUAGCCAAUGUUUUCAGGCUAUGAAUCCAUCUACGUGAGUAGAUACAUUAAAGUCCUCAAUCUUCCCAUUGUUGUCUGUCUUCACGGCUGCACUAAGGAACAGUUAGUGACAACAUUUGCAAUAAACAGACUGUACAUUCCUACAAGGCGUUAUUGCUGAUUUAUAGUUGAGGUGUCUUGCAACUUUCAGUGAUGGUUCCCUCGAACACACUGACCACAACGUUAGGUACACCUGCCUAUUCUACUGGGAUCCAAAGAGCUGAGGUUGUACGUAACGUUUAACGUUAUUAUUACAUUAUUACAACAUAUUUAAUGUAAGUGAUUGUAUGUAUUAUUGUGGCUGUGGUUUGCACUGCAAUCUAUUCAGAGCCCUUGUAGUUUUGUUGAAAGGACAGAUUUGAUCCACUUUUAUUCUACUCAUGCAGGUGUACCUAAUGGCACCUGUGGCAGCGCCAAAGCCCAUUGCAAUCCCUUCCUUGACGCUGGCUGACUUUGUUGACGUUGUUCUUAUUCAAGUGCAUUUUUCCCAUAUAGGAAAUAAUGUAAAAUGGAUGAAAAAGUGAAGAAGUAUGUGUUUUUCUCACUCUUAGAGACGUUAAGCAUUACAUAAGGAAAGAAAAAGGAAAAUAAAAUAACGCCUCACCAUCUGAAGACGUCCUUUCCCAUGUCCGUUGUUUCUAUUACAGGUUCUUUGUGGAGCUGCAACAAUUAACGAUUAAUCCAAUUAAUCAACAACCAUUUUGGUAUUCGAUGAAUCAUUUUUUUAUUUAAAAAUGUAAAUAUCCUCUGAUUUCAGCCUCUUGUGUUUUUUUAUUUUUUUUAUUUAUUUCCUGAGUCAUUCAUGCGAGCGGACCUCUUAUCUGUGUUUGCUUCAUAUUGACUUGGUCCAUCCUGGGCAUAACCGAUUAUACGAUCAAUCGAAACGACAAGCUUCAGAUUAAUCGACUAAGAAAGUAAUCGAAUUCUGUGGUUACCAUCGUACUUUGCCAUCGCUGCUCCCCUUCUGUGUUGGCCUCACGAAAACACAGAAGGGAAAUCCAAACACACUUGUGGAGUUCACGACUUAGAUAUAUACUUCAUUAACUUAUCUUUUAUUUUUUUAUAGUAUAUAAUUUAUCAUUUUUAGACAUUUAAAUUUAAAAUGCUAUAUGUAUAUUUAAAAGACAUAGCUUUGUGUUAUUAGUAUCAACAUUUCAGCAUUUUUUUUUUACAUUGUGUUUUUUUUUCUCUUGUUUUACUCAUUUUUGCUGGGUUUUUUUGUUGUUGUUUUUUUUUACAAAUGGGACAAGCCAAUAAAAGGAAUGGACCACUAAUGGCCCCCAUGCCAGACUUUGGACACCUCUGGUUUCCAUGAUCCCCAAGCUGAAGUCCUCCAGAAGUAACGACGAUUUGAACCCCAAGUCUUGUUAGAUUUUUGAGGCAUAUUUCUCCUGAAAAUGUUUAGUUGAAGUUAGCGUUCAACUUCGGAGCUUCCGCUGUUUUUUUUUGUUUUUGUUUUAUUCAUCAACCUUUCUUACUGCAUACACAUAACGUGUCUAAAAGAGUUUUUCUUGAACAAAGUUGUUCUUGUCCAUUUUGCCCUUUUCUGCAACGUCUAUUGUAUGUGGUGGAGGUUAAAAAUAA